rnacentral:rRNA from 1 species
GACGAACGCUGGCGGCGUGCUUAACACAUGCAAGUCGAACGGAAAGGCCCUGCUUUUGUGGGGUGCUCGAGUGGCGAACGGGUGAGUAACACGUGAGUAACCUGCCCUUGACUUUGGGAUAACUUCAGGAAACUGGGGCUAAUACCGGAUAGGAGCUCCUGCUGCAUGGUGGGGGUUGGAAAGUUUCGGCGGUUGGGGAUGGACUCGCGGCUUAUCAGCUUGUUGGUGGGGUAGUGGCUUACCAAGGCUUUGACGGGUAGCCGGCCUGAGAGGGUGACCGGCCACAUUGGGACUGAGAUACGGCCCAGACUCCUACGGGAGGCAGCAGUGGGGAAUAUUGCACAAUGGGCGGAAGCCUGAUGCAGCAACGCCGCGUGCGGGAUGACGGCCUUCGGGUUGUAAACCGCUUUCGCCUGUGACGAAGCGUGAGUGACGGUAAUGGGUAAAGAAGCACCGGCUAACUACGUGCCAGCAGCCGCGGUGAUACGUAGGGUGCGAGCGUUGUCCGGAUUUAUUGGGCGUAAAGGGCUCGUAGGUGGUUGAUCGCGUCGGAAGUGUAAUCUUGGGGCUUAACCCUGAGCGUGCUUUCGAUACGGGUUGACUUGAGGAAGGUAGGGGAGAAUGGAAUUCCUGGUGGAGCGGUGGAAUGCGCAGAUAUCAGGAGGAACACCAGUGGCGAAGGGGGUUCUUUGGGCCUUUCCUGACGCUGAGGAGCGAAAGCGUGGGGAGCGAACAGGCUUAGAUACCCUGGUAGUCCACGCUGUAAACGGUGGGUACUAGGUGUGGGGUCCAUUCCACGGGUUCCGUGCCGUAGCUAACGCUUUAAGUACCCCGCCUGGGGAGUACGGCCGCAAGGCUAAAACUCAAAGGAAUUGACGGGGCCCCGCACAAGCGGCGGAGCAUGCGGAUUAAUUCGAUGCAACGCGUAGAACCUUACCUGGGUUUGACAUGGAUCGGGAGUGCUCAGAGAUGGGUGUGCCUCUUUUGGGGUCGGUUCACAGGUGGUGCAUGGCUGUCGUCAGCUCGUGUCGUGAGAUGUUGGGUUAAGUCCCGCAACGAGCGCAACCCUUGUUCACUGUUGCCAGCACGUUAUGGUGGGGACUCAGUGGAGACCGCCGGGGUCAACUCGGAGGAAGGUGGGGAUGACGUCAAGUCAUCAUGCCCUUUAUGUCCAGGGCUUCACGCAUGCUACAAUGGCUGGUACAGAGAGUGGCGAGCCUGUGAGGGUGAGCGAAUCUCGGAAAGCCGGUCUCAGUUCGGAUUGGGGUCUGCAACUCGACCUCAUGAAGUCGGAGUCGCUAGUAAUCGCAGAUCAGCAACGCUGCGGUGAAUACGUUCCCGGG